rnacentral:lncRNA from 1 species
GUCUUUGUUGCCGCCUCUGCUAUCGUUGGGAGGUUGUAUUUUCAUGAUUCCUUCAAUAACUGCAGCCUAGCAUUUUACUUCAGGAAUAUCAGUAUUCCUUAGGAGGAACAUCCUUAUCAGCGGGACAUCAGCGCCACAGCACAAGGUUGCGAAAAAGAGACUGAGGCUCAGGCUGUGUGAAGGGAACAGAGUGCUGGGCUCCCCGGGCAGCCCACAUUGGAAGGGUGGGCUCUUUCCAUGUUUCAGGAAAGACCUGGCCCUCGGGGGCGCAUCAACAGGUGUGUGGACAGAUGGAAGAGGCUGGAGGUUACCUCACAGCCGAGAGAACAGAACAAACACUAGCUUGAGGAAGACGCUGAGGCACAGGGCGGUGACCCUGGAAUGUGAAACAGAGGAUUCAAUGCCUGCGUGGAUCUAGGACUAAGAACUGGAUCUGACACUCAGCAUUAACAGAAAGCCAGGUUUUUCUUAAAAAAAAAAAAAAAAGAAAAUUGAAAUGGGCUACCCUUCACACCAUGUUUUCUCAUCCCUUGAAGCAUUUCAUCAGAGGCUGUGUGAGUGUCUGCUGGGGUAAUGCACAGGGGACUCCUCUGGAAGCCCUGGUCCCAGCGUUCCAUAAUUAAAGUGUAUGUACUAAUGCCUCCCUUUCAUAUACAACAUAUUUCACAGCCAAAAGAGAUGGCCAAUGUCCACAGUAAAUGCAGCUCCAUUUAAAAAGCUCAUGUUAAAUGAUAUGAUUUGUAAAAUUAAUUUUAUUCUCAGAUGAAAGACAUAAUACAUUUUCCUAACUGUUGAUGUUCUAUCUCAAAAGCAUUUCAAAAUGUGACCAGUGAGGAGCAAGAAAUUUGUACGUCUUGAUGUGUAAACAUAUUUUACAGCAGCUGUUCACCUAUGGGGUCAGUCCUGUUUAUUUAUAAAAUGAAGAUGUUUUCUUAUUAACCAAGAAACACCUCCCAUUGAAAUUUGGUCAACAAAAUGCCCAAUCAGCAAGAGUUUGAUUUAUCAAAAAAUGGUUCACAUUUUCUCCAACACUUCAAAGUCCAUAGAAUUUAACCUCCCCAGCAGGUUGUGUCACACCUGAGGGGCUCACCAACCAGCUCCGGGGAUCUGCCGUGCGUAUCAUUCUCUGCAGGCCAACAGCCAGGGAGAAGAGAGCUCCCCUCGCAAGUGUCAAGAGAUAGGCCAGGGUGAUGGGUCAGCUGCGGGUUAUCAAGCCCCCAAAUUUCCAGCACAUUGCUGCCAUUACUGGCCAGGCCUGGCUGCCCCAGGAGACGCUCCCAUUCAAGGAGCGGUGGGAGGAUGGCAGUAAACGCAGGAGACUCAGCAAGUUUUAAGGAGGACUCAACUCCACUGACUGCUCCUGUCCUGACUUUGGUGGGUGGACAGGGUGGGUGGACAGACUGCAGAGGGGCCCAGAGGAAGGAUGUUGUGGGUUGGGGGUGGCAAAGAAAGCGCCCAGCCCCCAGGUUCUCCCUUGUAAAAACACAUAACCACAGGGCAUAAUCUUUCACAAACCCUCUUGGUUGGAGAAGAUUUGAAGGCUAUUUCAAUUUGUGAAGUCGUCACUAAUUUCAAAUUACUUUCCAAAAUCAUCGCAUCCACUGGGACCCUUUGCAACUGUAGUAAACAAAGUACCUCUUUCCUCUCCUGCUUCUGGAGGGCUGGAGCCAAUGGGAGGAGCUUUUUCAAUACAAAGUGAAAUAUUAACUCUUUCUUCGGAAACCAGAGAGGUUCAUUUUAACUGAUGCCUCUCUGGCUGUCUUUUAAGGAAAGAAUAGAUACGCUUAGCUUCUGCAGUCUUCAACUUCUAAGAAUGUGAUUACAUUUAAACUUAAAAAGGUAAACUGUGUUCGGUUUUGUAGUAAAUGUAAUCAUAGUGAAGAACUCGAUGCUGUUUUUUCUUGUUUGUUUGUUUUUGUUUUUUGUUUUUGUUUUUUGUUUUUUUUGAGAUGGAGUCUAGCUCUGUUGCCCAAGCUGGAGUACCGUGGCACGAUCUCGGCUCACUGCAAGCUCCGCCUCCCGGGUUCACGCCGUUCUCCCGCCUCAGCCUCUCUGAGCAGCUGGGACUACAGGCGCCUGCCACCAAGCCCGGC